rnacentral:rRNA from 1 species
AUUGCACGCUGUCGGCAGGCCUAACACAUGCAAGUCGAACGAGUGGCGGACGGGUGAGUAAUGUCUGGGAAACUGCCCGAUGGAGGGGGAUAACUACUGGAAACGGUAGCUAAUACCGCAUACCAUCGGAUGUGCCCAGAUGGGAUUAGCUAGUAGGUGGGGUAACGGCUCACCUAGGCGACGAUCCCUAGCUGGUCUGAGAGGAUGACCAGCCACACUGGCACUGAGACACGGUCCAGACUCCUACGGAAGGCAGCAGUGGGGAAUAGUGCACAAGGGGCGCAAGCCUGAUGCAGCCAUGCCGCGUGUAUGAAGAAGGCCUUCGGGUUGUAAAGUACUUUCAGAGAGGAGGCGUUCCUCGCAGAAGAAGCACCGGCUAACUCCGGGCCAGCAGCCGCGGUAAUUC